rnacentral:rRNA from 1 species
CAGCAGCCGCGGUAAUACAGAGGGUGCGAGCGUUAAUCGGAUUUACUGGGCGUAAAGCGUGCGUAGGCGGCUUCUUAAGUCGGAUGUGAAAUCCCUGAGCUUAACUUAGGAAUUGCAUUCGAUACUGGGAAGCUAGAGUAUGGGAGAGGAUGGUAGAAUUCCAGGUGUAGCGGUGAAAUGCGUAGAGAUCUGGAGGAAUACCGAUGGCGAAGGCAGCCAUCUGGCCUAAUACUGACGCUGAGGUACGAAAGCAUGGGGAGCAAACAGGAUUAGAUACCCCGUAGUCCCUGUCUCUUAUACU